rnacentral:rRNA from 1 species
AGUGAACGCUGGCGGUAGGCCUAACACAUGCAAGUCGAACGGCAGCACAGUAAGAGCUUGCUCUUACGGGUGGCGAGUGGCGGACGGGUGAGGAAUACAUCGGAAUCUACUUUUUCGUGGGGGAUAACGUAGGGAAACUUACGCUAAUACCGCAUACGACCUACGGGUGAAAGCAGGGGAUCUUCGGACCUUGCGCGAUUGAAUGAGCCGAUGUCGGAUUAGCUAGUUGGCGGGGUAAAGGCCCACCAAGGCGACGAUCCGUAGCUGGUCUGAGAGGAUGAUCAGCCACACUGGAACUGAGACACGGUCAAGACUCCUAAGGGAGGCAGCAGUGGGGAAUAUUGGACAAUGGGCGCAAGCAUGAUCCAGCCAUACCGCGUGGGUGAAGAAGGCCUUCGGGUUGUAAAGCCCUUUUGUUGGGAAAGAAAAGCAGCAGGUUAAUACCCCGCUGUUCUGACGGUACCCAAAGAAUAAGCACCGGCUAACUUCGUG